GACCGCUCUGGUGGCCUAGUGGUUAGAGAAUCUGCCUUGGGUGCAGGAGGUCAUGAGAUCAAACACCAGCCAAGUCA